UACGUAGGGUGCAAGCGUUAAUCGGAAUUACUGGGCGUAAAGCGUGCGCAGGCGGUCCGUUAAGACAGAUGUGAAAAUCCCCGGGCUUAACCUGGGAACUGCAUUUGUGACUGGCGGACUCGAGUAUGGCAGAGGGGGGUAGAAUUCCACGUGUAGCAGUGAAAUGCGUAGAGAUGUGGAGGAAUACCCGAUGGCGAAGGCAGCCCCCUGGGCCAAUAC
rnacentral:rRNA from 1 species